AGCAUUGAUGUCGUCCACGGCAGCCAGUCCUGCGGGGUAGGGAAGUAUACACGAAGUGAGAAUGUGUGCUUCCCUCUGUUGACCCGCCCAGCCAGAGCUCCUUCCCAAGGUUCUAAUGAGCACUGGGGCUGCAGGCAUCCUAUUUCAUCCAGCUUUUACUCAUGGGCUCUGGGGAUUUGAACUCAAGUCUUCACACUUUCACAGCAAGUACUGUAUCCACUCUUUGAAUCCCAAAAGCUUUUCUUUCAGGACUGGCUUUUUUCCCCCACCUCACCCGUGAUGCCUUCAAACUACUCCGUGUCCUGAGGAUUUCCCAUCUCGUGAAUCUCAUUUGUAGGUAAAGUUGGAACAUAGCAUUCUGUAUGUUAGUACUGCCUCAUCAAGGAAAUCUUUAAGUUACCUGAAGACCAGGAGCAAGCCCUGUCCUGAUGCUGUACCCUCCCAGUGGAUCCGCACAUGGUAAGCCCACAGCAGAACUUGGCUCUGCUGUUCUACUCUCUGAAACAACCCUAAACGCCUAACCUCUCCAUCAGCUGUAACGUUCAGUGACCAAGGGAAGGGUUCAAGCAUGGAAGGAUGGAGUCGGUAGAGUUUUCAGAACACAGAAACCCAACUGCUGCUCCAACAAGUCGAAAGAAAGCUGGACAGAACCUGUAAGAUUUGCCUUCUGAGGAAGGCAUCUGGGUACCAGGAAAAACAGACACACACUCGUCUGUGUGCCCAAUGGCACACAGACACACACUCGUCUAUGUGCCCAAUGGCACGGCCACACGACAGCCAGAAUUAUUCUAACCCCUCUUGACAGGAUGACAAUUUAUCUCCCAAGGAGCCUCCCUGGACCUUUCUACCAAGAAAUGACACUCAAUAGCAGGAAGCAUGAGUAAUGGAAUCCUUCAGAUUUUAAGGUGUACCAAUAGCUCAUCAUCACACCAUGGAUUGCACUUCCAGUUCUAUUGGACUACAGAUUUUCCAAGAGAAGGGAAGAAACUUCCAGAAGAACUAAGUCACCAGACAUGGUAGUACCCUCAUCAAUUUCAUUUUGUGCUCAUGGGACAAAUUACCCAUUGCCUCAUACUUGAAAAUGGAAACGAAAGUAUAGCCAAUUAGUUAAAUCUGUGGUCAGGAGGUUAGGUCAUUGGGUAUUCAGGUAUUUAUAGAGAAUUUUGUUAAACAUACAAAGAGAAAGUUGUCUUAAUUCUAAGUAUUUCAAAGGCAUGAGACCAUUUCCUCUCAAAGCUCUCUGAGCUCAGAUGUUGUCACAUUGGCAAUAUUCAUUUCUUCCUGUAAUUCAUUUCUGUCCAGGAUGAUGAAAGUCUCAGCCUUCACAAACAGCAGAAAGAAAACACUGAAACUGAGCUUUGUGUAUCAUUACCCACAUGCUUGAGGUUCCACAGAACGGGGAUGUGCACCCCAAAAUUGCAAGGUGUGGAUGUAGACACAUCAGUAGUAAGCUCUCAUGUAAAAUCUCAUGCUUGGAUGUUAGCUGCCAGACACAGACAUGAGUUAAUCUGCAUUGACAUCCUUGAUCCCCACAGGACUAGUUUCUCCAACAGGUCUCAGCUAGACCUGCAGGUGUGUGUUUCUUUGAGUGUACGAAGGAAUAAGAAAUGUUCCUAGCACAUCUGGGCAGUGACAGGGAGGGCAGUGUUAGGAAUGCUGCUUGGUGGAAACUCUGAUUUUAAAUUCAGCAGAAGUUCACGUGAUCUAUUAAAUGGGUCCAGUGGUCUUUCAUGUAUUAAGAGUUUGGGGGAAAUACAGGCUAUGUAGACUAAUCUAGAGAGAAUCAAUAUCAAACAGAAUUCCUUACUGCCUCUUCUGAUGUUCAAGUAAAGAUAAGUUUUACUAGAUGGAGGAAAAGCCUAAUGAUUGAUGGAUCUAAAUUUACAGUUGUUCAUUUUUAACUGCCUAAGUUUUCUGGUUUUUUUCCAGUCUGUUCAAUCAGUUUUAAUUAUCAACUUGAAACAGCCUAGAGUCAUCUGAGAAGGGACUCACAAGUGAGGGAAUGCCCAGGCCAGACUGGACUGUGAGCAUGUCUAUGGGUACGUCCUGAUUGUUCGUUAUUGAUCUAGGAUGGCCCAGUCCACUGUAGGCAGUGCCCUUCCUUGGGACAGUUGGUUCUGUAUGAAAAAGUGAGCUAAGCUUCCUGAGUAUAAGCCUGCAAUUGAGCUAGCAAGCAGAACUUCUCCAUGUUCUGCUUCUAAGACCUUCUGGACUCCAGCUUUGACUCCCUCAGUGACUGACUGUAACCUGUUUGAGUCAAAUGAACCCUUCCCUCCCCCACGCUGCAUUUGGCCAAAGUGUUUACCACAGGACCGAAGGGAAACUAGAACAGUCACUUAGCUGAACAGGGCGUGGAGAGGAGCCGAACUGUGUGACCCCACACAGGCUCAGAAGCACAGACCCACACUUGCUAUCAUGCAAACUUCAUCUCACCUGCCAAUAGUCUCAUUCAGUUGCGGUAAAGGCUAUAUAAGCUGUUAAAAAAUUCUUGGAACUAUAUAUUAAAGCCUGUGAAUGUAUAAAGAACAGAAAUACCAGUAAUGUAAUACCUUUUACAAUUUCAGUACAACACCAUCACACGAUCGAGAGCAAGGGACCACAGUCAUUAAGUUGUAACAUUUUGCUAAAUAAUAAUAGUCAGUGUCAGUCCUACAAGGGACAGAGCCAAAAUGACACAUCACAGCUGUGAUGAAAUCAGAAGGCAAGGGAGAACAAGUUUCCAGACAUUUUGACAUGCUGUGUGUGAACCGGGAACAGUACCAAUGAAGGAGACCCAUCAGGAAACUGCCAGAUGUUACAUCACAAUGACGAGCAGUGUUGAUAGAUUUCCUAUUUCUUAAGACAGGUUUGCAAGCUACAAGGGGAAUUUUGUCGAGAUUCAGGCAAAGCAAGCUUACAUCUUAUAGAAAUAUCCAUUUCCCACACAUAAUCCAUCACUUACUAUUGACUGUAUUGAUGUUGGUCUGGAUUUCUGCCUGUGUCAGCAGCUCCUCAUAUGCAUCUCUCUCUUCCUCUGAAAUAUAGCUGUUCUGCAAAACAAAA